AGUGAACGCUGGCGGUAGGCCUAACACAUGCAAGUCGAACGGCAGCACAGUAAGAGCUUGCUCUUGCGGGUGGCGAGUGGCGGACGGGUUAGUAAUACAUCGGAAUCUACUUUUUCGUGGGGGAUAACGUAGGGAAACUUACGCUAAUACCGCAUACGACCUACGGGUGAAAGCAGGGGAUCUUCUGACCUUUCGCGAUUUGAUGAGCCGGUGUCGGAUUAGCUAGUUGGCGGGGGAAAGGCCCACCAAGGGGACGAUCCGUAGCUGGUCUGAGAGGAGGAUCAGCCACACUAGAAGUGAGACACGGUCCAGACUCCUACGGGAGGCAGCAGUGGGGAAUAUUGGACAAUGGGCGCAAGACUGAUCCAGCCAUACCGCGUGGGUGAAGAUGGACUUCGGGUUGUAAAGCACUUUUGUUGGGAAAGAAAAGCAGCAGGUUAAUUCCCCGAUGUUCUGACGGUACCCAAAGAAUAAGCACCGGCUAACUUCGUG
rnacentral:rRNA from 1 species